CCAGUCCUACGGGGGGCAGCAGUAGGGAAUCUUCCACAAUGGGCGAAAGCCUGAUGGAGCAACGCCGCGUGGGUGAAGAAGGUCUUCGGAUCGUAAAACCCUGUUGUUAGAGAAGAAAGUGCGUGAGAGUAACUGUUCACGUUUCGACGGUAUCUAACCAGAAAGCCAAAGCUAACUACGUGCGAGCAGCCGCGGUAAUACGUAGGUGCAAAGCGCUGUCAGGUUUUAUUGGGCGUAAAGGGAACGCAGGCGGUCUUUUAAGGCUGAAGU
rnacentral:rRNA from 1 species